rnacentral:tRNA from 1 species
GCCUGGGUGGCUCAGUUGGUUGAGCAUCUGACUUCAGCUCAGGUCAUGAUCUCACAGUUUGUGGGUUUGAGCCCCGCAUUGGGCU